rnacentral:misc_RNA from 1 species
GAGUGCAAUGAAGAAGCCUGAUGAAAUAGCUAUGAAAGGUGCUUUUGAAAUCAUGUUUGAGAGUCUAGAUAUUGGUCCAAGUCUAAUUUGAGUUUAGCUAAUGUUUCCCACUAAAUCAAAUUUAUAGGAGCUAUCUGGUUCCUGAGCCAAAUAUUGUUUUAAGUGGAGUUAAUUUGGCUCAUUGCUAAGUGAUAUGAAAUUGAUCCCAAGUUAAGUGAUAUGCUACA